rnacentral:rRNA from 1 species
GACGAACCGAGCGAACGUUGUUCGGAAUCACUGGGCUUAAAGGGCGCGUAGGCGGGUGCUCAAGUCCGGGGUGAAAUCCCACAGCUCAACUGUGGAAUUGCCUCGGAUACUGGGUGUCUCGAGGGUGGUAGGGGUAUGCGGAACUAUCGGUGGAGCGGUGAAAUGCGUUGAUAUCGAUAGGAACUCCGGUGGCGAAGGCGGCAUACUGGACCACUUCUGACGCUGAGGCGCGAAAGCCAGGGGAGCGAACGGGG